rnacentral:rRNA from 1 species
AGUCGAACGAGCGAGAGAGAGCUUGCUUUCUCGAGCGAGUGGCGAACGGGUGAGUAACGCGUGAGGAACCUGCCUCAAAGAGGGGGACAACAGUUGGAAACGACUGCUAAUACCGCAUAAGCCCACGACCCGGCAUCGGGUAGAGGGAAAAGGAGCAAUCCGCUUUGAGAUGGCCUCGCGUCCGAUUAGCUAGUUGGUGAGGUAACGGCCCACCAAGGCGACGAUCGGUAGCCGGACUGAGAGGUUGAACGGCCACAUUGGGACUGAGACACGGCCCAGACUCCUACGGGAGGCAGCAGUGGGGAAUAUUGCACAAUGGGGGAAACCCUGAUGCAGCGACGCCGCGUGGAGGAAGAAGGUCUUCGGAUUGUAAACUCCUGUUGUUGAGGAAGAUAAUGACGGUACUCAACAAGGAAGUGACGGCUAACUACGUGCCAGCAGCCGCGGUAAAACGUAGGUCACAAGCGUUGUCCGGAAUUACUGGGUGUAAAGGGAGCGCAGGCGGGAAGACAAGUUGGAAGUGAAAUCCAUGGGCUCAACCCAUGAACUGCUUUCAAAACUGUUUUUCUUGAGUAGUGCAGAGGUAGACGGAAUUCCCGGUGUAGCGGUGGAAUGCGUAGAUAUCGGGAGGAACACCAGUGGCGAAGGCGGCCUACUGGGCACCAACUGACGCUGAGGCUCGAAAGUGUGGGUAGCAAACAGGAUUAGAUACCCUGGUAGUCCACACCGUAAACGAUGAUUACUAGGUGUUGGAGGAUUGACCCUUUCAGUGCCGCAGUUAACACAAUAAGUAAUCCACCUGGGGAGUACGACCGCA